CCCUUUCACACACAUCCUGUCACCUUCCCUUUGGCCUUGCAAACUCUCAGUACCUUUCUUUUGUGGCAGUCAUUUGCAUAUGUACAGUGCCCAAUCCCCAGUCACUGUGUACAGAACCGGAGAAGUCCACCGUAAUAAUGUCACCAAGUGCUACUGCUUUCCUCCCCUGGACCACAGCCAGUGUUCCAUACUGCCCAUCCAUAUGUGCUACAGCUUUCUGCACUAUAAAUUGACUCCGGUGUCAAAUUAUUCAACUGCAGCUGAGCAGUGGC